CCAAUGACAGAAAAGCAGGGAACUCCCUCCCACACGUCGGAGCCUAGGCGGGUCAACGCUCAUUCCUCAGCCGCAGCACGGACACACCAACUCGAUCAGCUUUUCGCUUUAUAAUCACGACGAGACUAUGCCAGCCUUGUCAGAGCCACCAAAUUCACUUCCGAUGCACUGGAAACCAGGAAUUACGAUGACUGAGGUUAAUUGUUGCGCUCUUUACUAUUCAAUCUAAUCAAUAAAAUGGGUGCUAAUUACUAAAAUAACGCGACUCUAGUGAAGGACUAAACAUGCACUUCCAUCGGAGGAAAACCCAUUUCCCACCGGGCGCAUGUGUUUACAAACAUGUACAAUUAUUUGAGCGUUAUAGCUAAAAUAGUCUAUGCUGUAUAUCGCGAUCCCAAAACAAGACCAAUAAAAUGCUACAGAUUGCAAAGGCAGUUUGACACGUAUUUAGUGAUGUGGUCGUACAGGUAUAUUAGGAAACGACCUAUUAAUAUGUUUGGUCUCAUCACAAACCUGGCAAGAGAGGAGGCGACUUAUAAAGCGGACACUGGCACUUUAAAUGCAGCACGGGUCACUGGAAAAACACAAGCCUAUAAGCAAUUCAAAGACAAGACGAACGGAAGGAAUAUGAAGACAGUGUAAAGAUAAGUUUGUCGUUGGAUUUGGCGGCGGUGCUGUGAUUUGUUCAUUAGGGCCUGUAAGCGCUCUUCUCUGCUGAAGUGUUUAUAGGCUGAAGGGAGCCGCUGACUCGCCCUAAUCAAUAUUCUGUGUUUGAUCUGUGGGCUUUAAACUGCGACACAGGACGAUUUCAAGUGGAAAGAGAUUAAGCACACAUGGGAAUGGUAACAGCUGGGGGCGCUCUAAUGACCCUUGGGACUGUGUUACAGCUCACACACCACGCACUGCCACCAUGCCUAUGAGCCUAUGACGACCAUUUCCAUCGCUUAUCCCAGCCAGGCUGUUUGGUUACACCUGUCUGAGAACAUUAUGAGCACAUUUUAAGUAGAUAUCUGACAGUGGACCAGUGGGAGGAGAGAGAAAUCCUGCCACCUCUCACCACCUGGCCUGACAUGAUUCUGUGUGUGUGUGUGGAGUGUAGGACUCACUUCCAGGGAUCUUCUCAGCCAUUAGUGAGCUCAGUUUGCAGACGGUGUACAGCCCUCACUGUAGAGAAGCUGGGACGUGUGUGGGGGUUUGUUCCUGCAUGUCUGCUGCUCAUCUGUUCAGUGCACUACAGGAGAUCUGCAGAAAGGAGAGAUUUAACUUGUUCCCUUGUGUCAUAUAUCUCAGUCUCUCCACUCCUUAGUGAUGUACAGGUGUAGAGGGUUUACAAGAAGGUCCUGGAAUCUUAUAGCUCACCAAAGCAGGGGGUUAUAAAGUACGAUUUUAAGAAUAAGAUUGAGAACAUUUAGAAAUUUAUCUUAUGUUGUCACCUUUUUAGGAAUUCUUUAGCUUGUAUGUACCAGAUGUUCUGUGAGCUCAUGACUGUUUAUAAUAAAGAUUACUUUUAUGGUGCAUUAUCAGCA